UACGUAGGUGGCAGGCGUUGUCCGGAAUUACUGGGCGUAAAGCGUGCGCAGGCGGUGAUGUAAGACAGAUGUGAAAUCCCCGGGCUCAACCUGGGAACUGCAUUUGUGACUGCAUCGCUGGAGUGCGGCAGAGGGGGAUGGAAUUCCGCGUGUAGCAGUGAAAUGCGUAGAUAUGCGGAGGAACACCGAUGGCGAAGGCAAUCCCCUGGGCCUGCACUGACGCUCAUGCACGAAAGCGUGGGGAGCAAACAGG
rnacentral:rRNA from 1 species